CAACGACCUUAUCUGUGACAACAGUAACACUAACAGCUAGGCAACUUCGGUGCUGGACACGGUUAUCUGUAGAAAUCCUGAAAUAUACAGAGUGUAUUACCAUAUGCUUGCUUCUUUGAGUAUGUGCCUGAAACAAGAAUGUCCUGGAGAAAAAGGACCACAACAAGAAAAGAGAUGGAGAGGAAGGGCUUGCUGUUGAGAGAUCAUGGGGUGCCUUGAGGUUCCACUUCCAGUCUUGAUGUUCUGCCCCUUACCUCUAAGCGAUGGCCUCUUGUGCCUGGCAAUAUAUGAGCGAAGCACAAUGGACUGGUGCCUGUACAUGUAAUGUAUUUCAUGCAAAUGAAGAGUAGAAUGAGAAGCUCACAAUGAUAUGGUAGACAAGGACCUUGCUGUCUAAAGCUCGGAGGCCAGAUGACAGUGUCUGAAGUAAGUCGCCCCAUAGAAGAGCGAGAACUUUCUGUUGCAAUUGUUAACAUGCAACACAUCCUUACCACAUGCAACCCAUCCCACUUUCACAAUAUAUUUUCUUAACAACAGUAACCCAAGUUCAACGUUUGGAUUGGUGAUUUUAAACAUAAAAACAAUGGUCUGAAUGUUUAAUUAGAUCUUUUACGCAAACGUAGUAUAUUAGUAAUGAAAGGCAUGUUUGGUAAUACAGUAAUUUCAUUUCAGACCAUGAAGACCAUGUAUUAUUAUAAUUAUCUGGGAUCUGUCGUUGGGCUGAUAAGCAUGGAAAAUAAGGAAUGUACUCCUGUCGAACGAACAAUAUGUUUUUAUAAAACGAAUAACUCUUUGAAGAUUACUUACUA